rnacentral:rRNA from 1 species
UACGUAGGGUGCGAGCGUUGUCCGGAAUUAUUGGGCGUAAAGAGCUCGUAGGCGGUCUGUCGCGUCGGCUGUGAAAACCCGAGGCUCAACCUCGGGCCUGCAGUCGAUACGGGCAAACUAGAGUACUGCAGGGGAGACUGGAAUUCCUGGUGUAGCGGUGAAAUGCGUAGAUAUCAGGAGGAACACCUGCGGUGUAGACGGCUUACUGGACCAUAACUGACGCUGAGGCACGAAAGCGUGGGUAGCAAACAGG